rnacentral:lncRNA from 1 species
CGCUGAGUUAAAGUCACCCACACCUGGAGGGCAGCCGCUCCCUCCACCCCCUGGCCCGGGAUCACUGAGCAUCAAGAGCCUGAGCCAGGGGAGUUGCCCUCGAAGAGCUUUCUGUUAAUCCGUCCCCCACCCGAGGGCCUAGAACACCUGCAGGAUGGCUAUGUGCAGGGGAGGUGAAUCACCGAGAGCAGCAGGACCCCAGAGGAAUCCCGGU